CGGUCCUAAGGUAGCGAAAUUCCUUGUCGGGUAAGUUCCGACCUGCACGAAUGGCAUAAUGAUGGCCACACUGUCUCCUCCCGAGACUCAGUGAAGUUGAAAUGUUUGUGAUGAUGCAAUCUCCCCGCGGCUAGACGGAAAGACCCCAUGAACCUUUACUGUAGCUUUGCAUUGGACUUUGAACCGAUUUGUGUAGGAUAGGCGGGAGGCAGAGAAAGCGCAACGCCAGUUGUGCCGGAGCCGACGUUGAAAUACCGCCCUGAUUUGUUUGAGGUUCUAACCGCGACCCGUGAGCCGGGUUCGGGACCGUGCAUGGCAGGCAGUUUGACUGGGGCGGUCUCCUCCUAAAGGGUAACGGAGGAGUACAAAGGUACGCUAGGUACGGUCGGAAAUCGUGCUGAUAGUGCAAAGGCAAAAGCGUGCUUGACUGCGAGACCGACAAGUCGAGCAGAUGCGAAAGCAGGUCUUAGUGAUCCGGUGGCUCUGAAUGGAAGGGCCAUCGCUCAACGGAUAAAAGGUACUCUGGGGAUAACAGGCUGAUACCGCCCAAGAGUUCAUAUCGACGGCGGUGUUUGGCACCUCGAUGUCGGCUCAUCUCAUCCUGGGGCUGUAGCCGGUCCCAAGGGUAUGGCUGUUCGCCAUUUAAAGAGGUACGUGAGCUGGGUUUAAAACGUCGUGAGACAGUUUGGUCCCUAUCUGCCGUGGGCGCUGGAAGAUUGACGGGGGCUGCUCCUAGUACGAGAGGACCGGAGUGGACGCACCUCUGGUGUACCGGUUGUCACGCCAGUGGCAUCGCCGGGUAGCUAUGUGCGGAAGAGAUAACCGCUGAAAGCAUCUAAGCGGGAAACUUGCCUGAAGAUAAGUCUUCCCGGAGGCUAGACCUCCCUGAAGAGUCGUUCGAGACCAGGACGUUGAUAGGUCGGGUGUGUAAGCGUUGUGAGACGUUUAGCUAACCGAUACUAAUUGCUCGUGAGGCUUGAUCCU
rnacentral:rRNA from 1 species